rnacentral:rRNA from 1 species
AGAGUUUGAUCCUGGCUCAGAACGAACGCUGGCGGCAUGCCUAACACAUGCAAGUCGAACGCCCCGCAAGGGGAGUGGCGAACGGGUGAGUAACGCGUGGAACCUACCCAGCAGUUGGGAUAACCGCGGGAAACUGCGGCUAAUACCGAAUACGUCCUGAGGGAGAAAGAUUUAUCGCUGUUGGAGGGGCCCGCGUCGGAUUAGCUAGUUGGUGAGGUAAUGGCUCACCAAGGCAUCGAUCCGUAGCUGGUCUGAGAGGAUGAUCAGCCACACUGGGACUUAGACACGGCCCAGACUCCUACGGGAGGCAGCAGUGGGGAAUAUUGGACAAUGGGGGCAACCCUGAUCCAGCAAUGCCGCGUGAGUGAUGAAGGCCUUAGGGUUGUAAAGCUCUUUUACCGGGGACGAUGAUGACGGUACCCGGAGAAUAAGCCCCGGCUAACUUCGUGCCAGCAGCCGCGGUAAUACGAAGGGGGCGAGCGUUGUUCGGAGUUACUGGGCGUAAAGGGCGCGUAGGCGGCGGACCAAGUUAGGCGUGAAAGCCCCGGGCUCAACCUGGGAAUUGCGCUUAAGACUGGUCUGCUCGAGUGCGGGAGAGGUGAGUGGAAUUCCCAGUGUAGAGGUGAAAUUCGUAGAUAUUGGGAAGAACACCAGUGGCGAAGGCGGCUCACUGGCCCGCAACUGACGCUGAGGCGCGAAAGCGUGGGGAGCAAACAGGAUUAGAUACCCUGGUAGUC